GAGCAACGCUCGUCGACUCAGGGUAAGUCGGGACGCAGCAGGCUAACUAGAGCGUGCGAUUGGAAGAGCACGUCCAAGCAGUGAGGUGAGGACUGAGUCAAAUGCUUAGUUCUGCGCCACCAAGCUGUGACGGGGAGCGAAGUUUAGUAGCGAAGCUAGUGAUGUCACUCUGCCAAGAAAAGCUUCUAGCGUUAAUGAAUACUCUACCCGUACCGCAAACCGACACAGGUAGUCGAGGCGAGUAGCCUCAGGUGAUCGAGCGAACUCUCGUUAAGGAACUCGGCAAAAUGGCCCCGUAACUUCGGGAGAAGGGGC
rnacentral:rRNA from 1 species